AUUGAACGCUGGCGGCAUGCUUUACACAUGCAAGUCGAACGGUAACAGGCCGCAAGGUGCUGACGAGUGGCGAACGGGUGAGUAAUGCAUCGGAACGUGCCCAGUCGUGGGGGAUAACGCAGCGAAAGCUGAGCUAAUACCGCAUCCGAUGUAUGGAUGAAAGUGGGGGACCGUAAGGCCUCGCGCGAUUCGAGCGGCCGAUGUAAGAGUAGGUCGUUGGGGGGGUAAAGGCCCACCAAGCCGACGACCUGCCGCUGGUUGGAGAGGACGACCAGCGACGCUGGGACUGAGACACGGCCCAGACUCCUGCGGGAGGCAGCAGUGGGGAAUUGUGGACAAUGGGCGCAAGCCUGAUCCAGCAAUGCCGCGGGCAGGAAGAAGGCCUUCGGGUUGUGAACUGCUUUUGUACGGAACGAAACGGUCUGGGUUAAUACCUCGGGCUGAUGACGGUACCGUAAGAAUAAGCACCGGCUAACUACGUGCCAGCAGCCGCCGUAACAC
rnacentral:rRNA from 1 species